GGAUAUUGUCGAAACCUGCAAACCAGAAAGACCAGCGGACCCAUU
rnacentral:rRNA from 1 species